AUGCAGGUUUGCUGUAGGACUUCUUUGAAUUCUCUGCAGAUGAAUAAAGAGGAAGGAAAAAAAAGACAAAAUAGCUUAGUUAUGAAUUCUGCUUUAAUAAACGUGCUUUCUAUGGAUGAUUCAUGGAUUUUGAUUACAUUCAAUUAUUUUUCAACAGCUCAUGCUUCAUCUCAUCAAGAAUUUCAAUCAUUGCCAACAGAUUAAUUAUCAUUCUACUGGUAGCCUUUUGUCUAAUAAACAGUCAUAAUGAGCAUGUUCGGUCUUGGCA
rnacentral:lncRNA from 1 species